GAUAAACGCUGGCGGCGUGCAUAACACAUGCAAGUCGAACGAUGAAGCUUAAAAGAUUUCUUCGGAAUGAACUUAAUUGGAUUAGUGGCGGACGGGUGAGUAACGCGUGAGUAACCUGCCUUGUACAAGGGGAUAGCCGUUGGAAACGACGAAUAAUACCCUAUGACAUCAAAUAAUCGCAUGAUAAUUUGAUCAAAGAUUUAUCGGUAUAAGAUGGACUCGCGUCUGAUUAGCUAGUUGGUAGAGUAAAAGCCUACCAAGGCAACGAUCAGUAGCCGGCUUGAGAGAGUGUACGGCCACAUUGGGACUGAGACACGGCCCAGACUCCUACGGGAGGCAGCAGUGGGGAAUUUUGCACAAUGGGGGAAACCCUGAUGCAGCGACGCCGCGUGAUUUAGAAGGCCUUCGGGUUGUAAAAAUCUUUUGUAUGGGAAGAAAAUGACAGUACCAUACGAAUAGGGACCGGCUAAUUACGUG
rnacentral:rRNA from 1 species